CUAUGCGCCUUGCCAGCCCGCUCAGUCAGAGUUUGAUCCUGGCUCAGGAUCAACGCUGGCGGCGUGCCUAAUGCAUGCAAGUCGAACGGGGUUGCCUUCGGGCGGCUCACGUGGCGGACGGGUGAGGAACACGUGGCCAAUCUGCCCAGCGGCAGGGGGUAGCCCGCGGAAACGCGGGGUAAUUCCGUAUGUGCGUCGUCCCCGAGUGGGGGGAUGACGGAAAGGCGCAAGCCGUCGCUGGAGGAGGCUGCGGCCGAUUAGCUAGCUGGUGGGGUAACGGCCUACCAGGCGAUGAUCGGUAGCUGGUCUGAGAGGAUGAUCAGCCACACGGGGACUGAGACACGGCCCCG
rnacentral:rRNA from 1 species